rnacentral:lncRNA from 1 species
AUCCAUAGGUUAGAGAUUAAAAUUUUUCCUUCAUGAAUUCUUAGUUUUAGAGUGAAGAAGACUGUAUCAGGGUUGCCAGAUUUAUCAAAAUAAAACAAAACAAAAGAGAAUGUCCACUUGAAUUUGAAUUUCACAUUCAAAAUUUUACUGAGUGACUAUAUUUUAUCUGAUAACCUUACUUUGGAACCAGUGAGGAAUACCUUUUUCUCAUCAAGGAACUUGUCAUAUUUAUAUAG